GUCAAUAUGUCUGAAUGGUUAAGGAAAUAGACUUGAAAUCUAUUGGGCUUUGCUUGUGCAUGUUUGAAUCCUGUUGUUGACA
rfam:Ipomoea nil DNA, scaffold: scaffold3065, cultivar: Tokyo-kokei standard.